UGCGGAGGAUGCAAGCGUUAUCCGGAUUUAUUGGGUUUAAAGGGUGCGCAGGUUGUUUGAUAAGUCAGUGGUGAAAGUCUGUCGCUUAACGGUAGGAUUGCCAUUGAUACUGUUAGACUUGAAUAUGGAUGAGGUAGGCGGAAUGUGUAGUGUAGCGGUGAAAUGCAUAGAUAUUACACAGAACACCGAUUGCGAAGGCAUCUUACUAAUCCAUCAUUGACGCUGAGGCACGAAAGCGUGGGGAUCAAACA
rnacentral:rRNA from 1 species